UGCGAAGAUUGAAAGGGAUCUUUGCAAACACAAUCACGUUCUUAAAUGGAAAUGCGGGGCUUUAAACAAAUCUUACAUCUCUCCAGUUCCAGUCGCCUAAAAGUCCGCAAUCAGGCGCAUGUUCCACUCCUUCUAAAACCGAAGCUUUUUGUAAGCUUUUUCAGGCAUCACUCUUUAUUUUAAUUAUUUACCUGAAUGAAUUUUUUUUUUAUCUCACGCGCGUGUUUAUGUUGUUCUCGUCUCUCACACGACACUGCUCUCUGUUUGUAGGCUACAGUGGGACGCACUGUACUAUUUAUUCAUUUGAAUCCCUGGACUAGAGCACGAUUUAACGAGUUCCAAACCUUCCAUCUAACUCCAUGACGGGCUUGAAAGCAUCAGGCUUGGGAUGCCUAAGCCCCUUCUCAGCUCCUGUCUGUCUGUCUGUCUGUCUGUCCUGUCUCCUGUCCUGUCUGCUGGGGUGUUGGUGCCUGGGCUUCAACCAUCAGCCCUAACCUGUGUGGCUUCCUGUCCGUCCACAGAGGGACCCAAUCCUCUACUUUGAAUUCAAGGGGCCUGAAGACAACACAGCCUCACGCAGGCUCAGCAACACGCAGGUUACGACCCCAACAGGACAUACCACGCCACCCGGCGGGCUGAGUUGUUACGCACUACACGUGCGUGUGUGUGUAAGCCACAGGAGGUUGGUGGCCCCUUAAUUGGGGAGGAUGGCCUCGUGGUAAUGGCUGGAGCAGAAUCAUGGUUUCCAGGUGUUUGAUGCCAUUCCAUUCGCUCCGUUCCUGCCAUUAUUAUGAGUCGUUCUCCCCUCAGCAGCCUCCACUGGUGUAAGCAUGUUGCCCCCUGCCGAAUGUCCAUCCGUCCUGCGUCUCCCCCUCAGCCCACCCAUCCUUCCUCUCUACCUAGCCACCCUUUCAUCCUCUGUCUCUUUUCUUCAUACUGGACCGGAAAAUGAACGAGCAAAGUUGGCCUCGCGGAGAGAGCUUGCGUCCACGUUAAUUGAAGUAAAUGAAUAGAUAGAUUCACUUCUGCAGGUUGAAGGUUGUGCAUUUAUGACAAAUUACAUCAAUUAAAGGGAUCGUUUGCUGUGUUGUUUACUCCAUUCAACCUGGAAAACUAUCCCUUUAAAUAUUUACAUACUGUAGAUUUUAAUAAGAGGACACAUAUGGAUUUUCUUGAGUACACAAUUUAAAAUAUGUAUUUCUAUAAUAGGAGGAUUGUGUCUCUGUUGAAAUUGAGAGGAUAUUUGGUUUGGGUACCGCAAAAAUUAAUUUGAAAAACCUCUCAGUUAAGAAAAGGUUAGUAACAGGUGAGGUAAACGUUUUGAAAAAAACAAAAGCUGUAAAAGUUAUGUGAAUCAGUGCGAUAUGGCUGAACUAUUUUCCAUUUGACUAUUGCAUAGUUUUUGGUCGGUAACAUCAAUUGAUACUAUUCACAAUGGAAGACAACAAGUUGAAUGUAAUGACAGUGUACACACCUACUUCAAUAUCAGGCAGGGAUACUAGAUAUUGCAUACAUGAGUUAACCUGCGGUUAUUUUUCUUUUGGUUUAUUAGUUAUUCUCUUUCUAUAAUCCUGUAAUCAGAUUUAUCCUCGUGUACCGUUAUAGAGGGAUAUUAUUUAAGCUGGAUGUCUUUGAGUGUCAUGUCAGUAAAUGUUCACUAGUGGGUUUAAAAUGUUCAGACAGAUAGGCUUACUAUCUUGAUCACAUUUUGUUUCUGAUUUACCUUUAAGAAAUAGUAUGCUUAUUAAAAACAUGCAUCAGUAAAAGCCGGGAUAACGAACCUACAACAUGCAGUAUAUCAAACCCAUUAAGAAAGUUAAGGCAGACUUCUUACAAUACGUAAUUCCCAGCAGCUGAGCGAGGUAGAGAGAGAGAGAGAGUGAUAGAGAGAGAGAGAGAGAUAGAAAGACAGAGACCUUAUUUGAUCCAGCAGACUUUUCUCUGGGGUGUAGAGUGAUCAGUCCUGCCCCUCCGGUAACUCCCCUAGUUCUGGCACAAUAACAGACAACUUCAGCCUUACACACACACACACACACACACACACACACACACACACACACACACACACACACACACACACACACACACACACACACACACACACACACACACACACACACACACACACACACUACUGCGCACAAACCAGAUAACUUAGCUGCAGUCAGAGGCCCACUGGAAAGUUAUUAAUGAGCUGUUUAAUUUUAAUUAGAUAGUAAUUCAUGUUAAUGCUUGCUUAAUGGAGCCAAAUAAUUCCCCUCGGUCACUUGGGGUCUUUAUGCUUCGUUUACCGGCCCCUGCAGUUAUUCUCCAUUUUGCCUUUAUAUUAGAUUUCAAGUCUUUCGAGAGAAUGGGAUUAUACAAUGAAUAUGGGAAACAUAUGGAGCAACUGAAGCGUGUGUGUGUGUGUGUAUGUGUGUGAGCACAUUCAUUUCUGUAAGUGUGUGUGUGCCUACUUGCAUACGCUAGCGUGUUGGUAUGUGUGUGCAUAUUCAUUUGUGUGUAUGUGUGUGCAUCCAUUUGUGUGUGGGAGCUAGCAGGUGGCUCUCACUUCUAAAUGCACCACCCACUAAAUGAAUUAAGUCCAGAAAAACAAAAGGUCAAGCUGAGUAUUGAGGGCACACUGGGGUCGAAACCUUAGGUGGAAGUGCAGCCGGUAGUACAUCUCCAUACGCCGACAAACUAGUACAGGGGUCGCGACCUGAGCAUGAGGGUAUGGUAAAAUGAGCAAACCUCUAGUCGUGUGCUCAGGCUGUUGUAGUUGUUGUGUUUUCAACACACCUAGAGGGUUAAAACAAUGUUAAAUAUAGGGGUGAGUGUAGGAGUAACCAAACGUUUGUGCCCUUACCAAACAAGGGGUCAUGGCUAAGGCACUGACCAGCCAGCCUGUCUCUCUGCUGUCUGGCCUGUGUGCGUGCCGGGUCUACGCCGGGGCCGCAUCAAGGCACUAAGCCAGCCGGCUGAAUUGAGUUAGUGGCUACAGACGGCUUUUAAUUGUUGAUUGACCAGUCUGAGUGCUGCCUGUGCCGGGGUCACUAAUGAUAGCACAGGGGGAGGUCCCUAGGCCCCAGCUGCAAUUUCAGCCCCACUCGACCCAGAGAGACGGAGGAGAGCGGAACAAGAUGGAGGGACUGACGGAAGGGAGGAGGGAGGAAGGAAGGAGGAGAGUUUAAGAGAGAAGGUUAGAGAGGAUAUGGGAUGUUUCUGUUCUUGUUUGUUUGAUCGAGAAAUUGAUUAAUUAAGGGGUUAUUACACCUAGAUAAUACACAUGGGCUGAUGGGUCCCACAUACAAGCACAUCAGUUAUUGAAGCUCACGUCCAAGCUCAAGUAUGCUGAGCCUACCCCCGUACAACAAAUCCAUAUUCUUUGAUCCGUUUGACGAUUACAAAUUUGACUUUGUAUUCGUUCCAUUUUUUCCCCAGCUCAUUCUCUACUUCUCCUUCAUCCUCUCCCUCUUCUCCUCCCUCUCUUCUCCUCCCUCUCUUCUCCUCCCUCUCCUCUCCUCCCUUCCUUUCAUUUGGCACGGAGGCACCAAAGCCCACUCUUGCUGUUUAAGCGGGGGUGCGCUCCCUCGCCCCUUUCGCCCCUCUCCCUCACAGCAGGUGCGUGUCCUUCCCUAACAUUUGUUAUCUCUAAUCCUGCAGGUUCCGAGCACAAAAAGAGCGUAGUAAAGUCUCUCACCACCCUAAUCCCUCCAUCCCUCAACUCCUUUUUUGAUGGCGUUUUUUUUCUCUCCAUUUUUGGGGGAAGGGAGGGAGAGUCACUUCACUCUGAUUACCACACAGUUUUAUCUAUCUGGGAGCCCCUUGGAAAUUCAGAAUUGUGGGGGCUUCGUCUGUUUAGCUCCCUGGUCCCGACUUUCCCUUUUCGCCCCCUCUUACCCGUAUCAUUUACAGUCAUUUUCUGGCAAUUAAAAGGGAGCACUGCUGCAGGUUUUUGGCCUGCAGUGCCCGCUACAUCAUUGAUGAAUAAUUCUUCAGCUGCAAACUGGAAAGCUAGCCUUUCUUUCAUGUGGGGCUUUGUUGAUUUACCAUUAAAACUUGCUCUGCGGUGGGCUUUGCUGUGUAGGGCUGCUCUGUGGUUUGGUUUGUGAUGGAGGGGGAGAAAUUAAAUAUGAAGUGUACAUAUGCUUCAUGUCAGUUUUCUAAAGUCUAAAUUUGGUAGCGUGUUGACUCAUUUUUAUAUUUCUGCGCAUCUGGAAGGUUUGAAUUAAUAUAUACUGUUCAUUCUUUUCUCAGACACAUUGUGCUCAGACUUUAUAGUAUUACUUCAUCUAAAUUAAUCUUCAUUCAUUCAUUGAUUCAUAUAGCUAUUGCUAGCUGCUUUAUUAUUGUGGUUACUUAUGAGUGAUUUGACAUCACACACAGAGACAGAUCUAUCACAUAAUCACACGCACACAAACACGCAUGUAUGCACACACGCACUGCACCCCCCCCCACACCGUCUCUCUCUUUCUCUUUCUUUUUUCUUUCUUUCUCUCUCUCUCUCUCUUUCUCACUCACUCUCACAUACGCACGCACGCACGCACGCACACACACACACACACACACACACACACACACACACACACACACACACACACACACACACACACACACACACACACACACACACACACACACACACACACACACACACACAGGUGUUGACAGUAUAGUAAAUUAACGAUGCAGGUAGCCAGCCCAGCCCCACUGAAUCCAUCCCUCUCCCGUGUCCCAGAGCAGCCGCUCUGUUAACUGCUCCAGCCCUGGGUAAUGGAUGGCAGCCGGCUCUGUUAACUGCUCCAGCCCUGGGUAAUGGAUGGCAGCCGCUCUGUUAACUGCUCCAGCCCUGGGUAAUGGAUGGCAGCCGGCUCUGUUAACUGCUCCAGCCCUGGGUAAU
rnacentral:lncRNA from 1 species